rnacentral:rRNA from 1 species
UGGGGAAUAUUGCACAAUGGGCGAAAGCCUGAUGCAGCGACGCCGCGUGGGGGAUGACGGCCUUCGGGUUGUAAACCCCUUUCAGUAGGGAAGAAGCGAGAGUGACGGUACCUGCAGAAGAAGCGCCGGCUAACUACGUGCCAGCAGCCGCGGUAAUACGUAGGGCGCAAGCGGUGUCCGGAAUUAUUGGGCGUAAAGAGCUUGUAGGUGGCUUGACGCGUCUGCCGUGAAAACCCGAGGCUCAACCUCGGGCGUGCGGUGGGUACGGGCAGGCUAGAGUGUGGUAGGGGGGACUGGAACUCCUGGUGUAGCGGUGAAAUGCGCAGAUAUCAGGAAGAACACCGAUGGCGAAGGCAGGUCUCUGGGCCAUUACUGACACUGAGAAGCGAAGGCAUGGGUAGCGAACAGG